rnacentral:rRNA from 1 species
UUCCGGUUGAUCCCGCCGGACCUGACUGCUAUCGGAUUGAUACUAAGCCAUGCGAGUCAUUGUCGCAAUACAAGGCAUACGGCUCAGUAACGCGUAGUCAACCUACCCUAUGGACGGGAAUAACCUCGGGAAACUGAGUAUAAUGCCCGAUAGAACAUUAUGCCUGGAAGGGUUUAUGUUCCAAAUGAUUUAUCGCCGUAGGAUGGGACUGCGGCCUAUCAUUUGUUGGUGAGGUAAUGGCCCACCAAGACUAUUACAGGUACGGGCUCUGAGAGGAGUGGCCCGGAGAUGGGUACUGAGACACGGACCCAGGCCCUAUGGGGCGCAGCAGGCGAGAAAACUUUGCAAUGUGCGAAAGCACGACAAGGUUAAUCCGAGUGGUUUCUGCUAAAGGAACCUUUUGUUAGUCCUAGAAACACUAACGAAUAAGGGGUGGGCAAGUUCUGGUGUCAGCCGCCGCGGUAAAACCAGCACCUCAAUGGUCAGGAUGAUUAUUGGGCCUAAAGCAUCCGUAGCCUGCUCUGUAAGUUUUCGGUUAAAUCUGUAUGCUCAACAUACAGGCCGCCGGGAAUACUGCAGAGCUAGGGAGUGGGAGAGGUAGACGGUACUCGGGAGGAAGUGGUAAAAUGCUUUGAUCUCUCGAUGACCACCUGUGGCGAAGGCGGUCUACCAGAACACGUCCGACGGUGAGGGAUGAAAGCUGGGGGAGCAAACCGGAUUAGAUACCCGGGUAGUCCAGCCGUAAACUAUGCAAACUCAGUGAUGCAUUGGCUUGUGGCCAAUGCAGUGUUGCAGGGAAGCCGUUAAGUUUGCCGCCUGGGAAGUACGUACGCAAGUAUGAAACUUAAAGGAAUUGGCGGGGGAGCACCACAAGGGGUGAAGCCUGCGGUUCAAUUGGAGUCAACGCCGGG